rnacentral:rRNA from 1 species
GAUGAACGCUGGCGGCGUGCCUAAUACAUGCAAGUCGAGCGAACGGACGAGAAGCUUGCUUCUCUGAUGUUAGCGGCGGACGGGUGAGUAACACGUGGAUAACCUACCUAUAAGACUGGGAUAACUUCGGGAAACCGGAGCUAAUACCGGAUAAUAUUUUGAACCGCAUGGUUCAAAAGUGAAAGAUGGUCUUGCUGUCACUUAUAGAUGGAUCCGCGCUGCAUUAGCUAGUUGGUAAGGUAACGGCUUACCAAGGCAACGAUGCAUAGCCGACCUGAGAGGGUGAUCGGCCACACUGGAACUGAGACACGGUCCAGACUCCUACGGGAGGCAGCAGUAGGGAAUCUUCCGCAAUGGGCGAAAGCCUGACGGAGCAACGCCGCGUGAGUGAUGAAGGUCUUCGGAUCGUAAAACUCCGUUAUUAGGGAAGAACAUAUGUGUAAGUAACUGUGCACAUCUUGACGGUACCUAAUCAGAAAGCCACGGCUAACUACGUG